rnacentral:rRNA from 1 species
AUGCAAGUCGAACGAUGAUCCGGAGCUUGCUUCGGGGAUUAGUGGCGAACGGGUGAGUAACACGUGAGUAACCUGCCCUUGACUCUGGGAUAAGCGCUGGAAACGGCGUCUAAUACCGGAUACGACCUACCCCGGCAUCGGGUGUGGGUGGAAAGUUUUUCGGUCAAGGAUGGACUCGCGGCCUAUCAGCUUGUUGGUGAGGUAAUGGCUCACCAAGGCGACGACGGGUAGCCGGCCUGAGAGGGUGACCGGCCACACUGGGACUGAGACACGGCCCAGACUCCUACGGGAGGCAGCAGUGGGGAAUAUUGCACAAUGGGCGAAAGCCUGAUGCAGCAACGCCGCGUGAGGGAUGACGGCCUUCGGGUUGUAAACCUCUUUUAGUAGGGAAGAAGGACUUCGGUUUGACGGUACCUGCAGAAAAAGCACCGGCUAACUACGUGCCAGCAGCCGCGGUAAUACGUAGGGUGCAAGCGUUGUCCGGAAUUAUUGGGCGUAAAGAGCUCGUAGGCGGUUUGUCGCGUCUGCUGUGAAAACCCGAGGCUCAACCUCGGGCCUGCAGUGGGUACGGGCAGACUAGAGUGCGGUAGGGGAGAAUGGAAUUCCUGGUGUAGCGGUGGAAUGCGCAGAUAUCAGGAGGAACACCGAUGGCGAAGGCAGUUCUCUGGGCCGUAACUGACGCUGAGGAGCGAAAGCGUGGGGAGCGAACAGGAUUAGAUACCCUGGUAGUCCACGCCGUAAACGUUGGGCGCUAGAUGUGGGGACCUUUCCACGGUUUCCGUGUCGCAGCUAACGCAUUAAGCGCCCCGCCUGGGGAGUACGGCCGCAAGGCUAAAACUCAAAGGAAUUGACGGGGGCCCGCACAAGCGGCGGAGCAUGCGGAUUAAUUCGAUGCAACGCGAAGAACCUUACCAAGGCUUGACAUAUACGAGAACGGGCCAGAAAUGGUCAACUCUUUGGACACUCGUAAACAGGUGGUGCAUGGUUGUCGUCAGCUCGUGUCGUGAGAUGUUGGGUUAAGUCCCGCAACGAGCGCAACCCUCGUUCUAUGUUGCCAGCACGUUAUGGUGGGAACUCAUAGGAGACUGCCGGGGUCAACUCGGAGGAAGGUGGGGAUGACGUCAAAUCAUCAUGCCCCUUAUGUCUUGGGCUUCACGCAUGCUACAAUGGCCGGUACAAAGGGCUGCGAUACCGUAAGGUGGAGCGAAUCCCAAAAAGCCGGUCUCAGUUCGGAUUGAGGUCUGCAACUCGACCUCAUGAAGUCGGAGUCGCUAGUAAUCGCAGAUCAGCAACGCUGCGGUGAAUACGUUCCCGGGCCUUGUACACACCGCCCGUCAAGUCAUGAAAGUCGGUAACACCCGAAGCCGGUGGCCUAACCUUUUGGAGGGAGCCGUCGAAGGUGGGAUCGGUGAUUAGGACUAAGUC